rnacentral:tRNA from 2 species
GCCCUCGUAGCUCAGCGGAUAGAGCAGAAGACUUCUAAUCUUUUGGCCGCAGGUUCGAUUCCUGCCGAGGGCGCCA